GCGAACGCUGGCGGCAGGCCUAACCCCUGCAAGUCGAACGAACCUUUCGGGGUUAGUGGCGGACGGGUGAGUAACACGUGGGAACGUGCCUUUAGGUUCGGAAUAACUCAGGGAAACUUGUGCUAAUACCGAAUGUGCCCUUCGGGGGAAAGAUUAAUCGCCUUUAGAGCGGCCCGCGUCUGAUUAGCUAGUUGGUUGAGGUAAUGGCUCACCAAGGCGACGAUCAGUAGCUGGUCUGAGAGGAUGAUCAGCCACAUUGGGACUGAGACACGGCCCAAACCCCAACGGGGGGAGGCAGGGGGGAAUCUUGGGCAUUGGCGAAAGCCUGACGCAGCCAUGCCGCGUGAAUGAUGAAGGUCUUAGGAUUGUAAAAUUCUUUCACCGGGGACGAUAAUGACGGUACCCGGAGAAGAAGCCCCGGCUAACUUCGUG
rnacentral:rRNA from 1 species